AAAGUCGUAACAAGGUUUCCGUAGGUGAACCUGCGGAAGGAUCAUUAACACGUAUCCAACGUUAAAACCCCCCUGUGAACUUUCAGCUGGUGUUCUCAACGACGUAAGAAAGGACCAAUCUCUGGUAAAUCAUCGCCGAACAGUUUUGAUUCAGAGACAUGUUCACCGUAGUGUUGAUCGAGCCGAUUGAAGUGGCCUGGUAUUCCUCUUUGGACUCCGUCAGUGUCUGAAAGUGUCACUGGCGCCAAACGAAUGACGCAGUAACGUUCGCGGCCGACACGGCCAGCGACCGGGCAACUGGGCGACGGCCCCCUAAUAACCUUUGCAUGAAAACGGGCCUGCGCUUAAUUGUGCGGCCAUAACCGAACAACUGUUAACAAUGGAUAUCUUGGUUCUC
rnacentral:misc_RNA from 1 species